UUCCAGACUCCUACGGGAGGCAGCAGUGAGGAAUAUUGGUCAAUGGGCGAGAGCCUGAACCAGCCAAGUCGCGUGAGGGAGUACUGCCCUAUGGGUUGUAAACCUCUUUUGUCGGGGAGCAAAAGCCGGACGUGUCCGGCUGUGAGAGUACCCGAAGAAAAAGCAUCGGCUAACUCCGUGCCAGCAGCCGCGGUAAUACGGAGGAUGCGAGCGUUAUCCGGAUUUAUUGGGUGUAAAGGGAGCGCAGGCGGCUUUGCAAGUCUGAUGUGAAAGGCCGGGGCUCAACCCCGGGACUGCAUUGGAAACUGUAAAGCUAGAGUGCCGGAGGGGUAAGCGGAAUUCCUAGUGUAGCGGUGAAAUGCGUAGAUAUUAGGAGGAACACCAGUGGCGAAGGCGGCUUACUGGACGGCAACUGACGCUGAGGCUCGAAAGCGUGGGGAGCAAACAGAAUUAGAUACCCUCGUA
rnacentral:rRNA from 1 species